rnacentral:rRNA from 1 species
ACCAGACUCCUACGGGAGGCAGCAGUGGGGAAUAUUGCACAAUGGGGGAAACCCUGAUGCAGCGACGCCGCGUGGGUGAAGAAGCGCCUCGGCGCGUAAAGCCCUGUCAGCAGGGAAGAAAAUGACGGUACCUGAAGAAGAAGCCCCGGCUAACUACGUGCCAGCAGCCGCGGUAAUACGUAGGGGGCAAGCGUUAUCCGGAUUUACUGGGUGUAAAGGGAGCGUAGACGGCAGGGCAAGUCUGGAGUGAAAGGCAGGGGCCCAACCCCUGGACUGCUCUGGAAACUGUCCGGCUGGAGUGCAGGAGAGGUAAGUGGAAUUCCUAGUGUAGCGGUGAAAUGCGUAGAUAUUAGGAGGAACACCAGUGGCGAAGGCGGUCUGCUGGACAGUAACUGACGGUGAGGCGCGAAAGCGUGGGGAGCAAACAGGAUUAGAUACCCGAGUA